UUUAUAUAAUUUAAAUAAAAUAUUGAUCUGUGACGUCAAAAAUAUAAAUAACAAUUAUUAUAAAUU
rnacentral:tRNA from 1 species